GUGGGGAAUCUUAGACAAUGGGGGAAACCCUGAUCUAGCCAUGCCGCGUGAGCGAUGAAGGCCUUAGGGUUGUAAAGCUCUUUCAGCUGGGAAGAUAAUGACUGUACCAGCAGAAGAAGCCCCGGCUAACUCCGUGCCAGCAGCCGCGGUAAUACGGAGGGGGUUAGCGUUGUUCGGAAUUACUGGGCGUAAAGCGCGCGUAGGCGGAUCGGAAAGUUGGGGGUGAAAUCCCGGGGCUCAACCCCGGAAUUGCUUUCAAAACGCCCGGUCUUGAGGUCGAGAGAGGUGAGUGGAAUUCCGAGUGUAGAGGUGAAAUUCGUAGAUAUUCGGAGGAACACCAGUGGCGAAGGCGGCUCACUGGCUCGAUACUGACGCUGAGGUGCGAAAGCGUGGGGAGCAAACAGGAUUAGAUACCCUUGUAGUCC
rnacentral:rRNA from 1 species